rnacentral:rRNA from 1 species
AUUGAACGCUGGCGGCAGGCCUAACACAUGCAAGUCGAACGAGUGGCGGACGGGUGAGUAAUGUCUGGGAAACUGCCCGAUGGAGGGGGAGAACUACUGGAAACGGUAGCUAAUACCGCAUACCAUCGGAUGUGCCCAGAUGGGAUUAGCUUGUAGGGGGGGUAACGGUUCACCUAGGGGACGAGCCCUAGCUGGGCUGAGAGGAUGACCAGUCACACUGGAACUGGGACACGGUCCAGACUCCUACGUGAGGCAGCAGUGGUGAAUAUUGCACAAUGGGCGCAAUCCUGAUGCAGCCAUGCCGCGUGUAUGAAGAAGGCCUUCGGGUUGUAAAGUACUUUCAGCGAGGAGGCGUUACUCGCAGAAGAAGCACCGGCUAACUCCGUGCCAGCCGCCGCGGUAAUUC